AGUGGCGAACGGGUGAGGAAUUCAUGGAUAACGUGCCCCGGACUCAGGGAUAGCGUUGUGAAAACGACGGUAAUACCUGAUGACCCCGUAGGACCGCAUGGUCCAGCGGGCAAAGCUCCGACGGUCCGGGAGCGAUUCAUGUCCUAUCAGCUAGUUGGUGAGGUAACGGCUCACCAAGGCGGCGACGGGUAUCGGGCGUGAGAGCGUGACCCGACACAUCGGAACUGAGAUACGGUCCGGACACCUACGGGUGGCUGCAGCAACGAAUAUUCCGCAAUGGACGAAAGUCUGACGGAGCGACGCCGCGUGCAGGAAGAAGUCCCUCGGGAUGUAAACUGCUGUCAGGGGUGAGGAACACAAUGACCAACCCCAGAGGAAGCCACGGCUAACUCCGUGCCAGCAGCCGCGGUAAUACGGAGGUGGCGAGCGUUGUUCGGAAUCACUGGGCUUAAAGCGCGUGUAGGCGGGGCGGUAAGUGUCGGGUGAAAGCCCUCGGCUCAACCGAGGAACGGCCUGGCAUACUGCCGUCCUUGAGGCAGACAGAGGUCACUGGAACGACGGGUGGAGCGGUGAAAUGCGUAGAUAUCCGUUGGAACGCCGGCGGCGAAAGCGAGUGACUGGGUCUGUCCUGACGCUGAGACGCGAAAGCGUGGGUAGCAAACAGGAUUAGAUACCCUGGUAGUCCACGCCGUAAACGAUGCGCACUAGGCAUGAGGGGCUCUGACGCCAAUCGUGCCGAAGCAAAAGUGUUAAGUGCGCCGCCUGGGGAGUACGGCCGCAAGGCUAAAACUCAAAGGAAUUGACGGGGGCUCACACAAGCAGUGGAGCAUGUGGAUUAAUUCGAAGCAACGCGAAGAACCUUACCUGGGUUUGACAUGCUUGGAUGCCCUUCUGGAAACAGGAGUAAGCUGCCUUCGGGUGAAACUUGCACAGGUGCUGCAUGGCUGUCGUCAGCUCGUGCUGUGAAGUGUCGGGUUAAGUCCCUUAACGAGCGAAACCCCUAUCGUUAGUUGCCAUCGGGUCAUGCCGGGAACU
rnacentral:rRNA from 1 species